UUUUUUAUGAGCUUAUCUGUCUCUCUACAUCGAUCGAUUCCAAGUACUUAAUAUUUGUAUAGUUGUUGUUGUUGCCGCCACCACCACGUCAGCUCAUGCAUGCUGAAACAUAUAUUGUGUACUGAUGAACCAGCACCGCCGCCUUUGCCACUAUAUAUCACCACAUCGCCAUUGCCGUAAUCACCAUGAUCACCACCACCACUAUCACCACCACCGUCACUAGCUAGCUACGUCAGCCAACGUUUCUCAC
rnacentral:lncRNA from 1 species